ACGAACGCUGGCGGCAGGCUUAACACCUGCAAGUCGAACGCCCCGCAAGGGGAGUGGCAGACGGGUGAGUAACGCGUGGGAACAUACCCUUUUCUACGGAAUAGCUCUGGGAAACUGGAAUUAAUACCGUAUACGCCCUACGGGGGAAAGAUUUAUCGGGGAAGGAUUGGCCCGCGUUGGAUUAGCUAGUUGGUGGGGUAAAGGCCUACCAAGGCGACGAUCCAUAGCUGGUCUGAGAGGAUGAUCAGCCACAUUGGGACUGAGACACGGCCCAAACUCCUACGGGAGGCAGCAGUGGGGAAUAUUGGACAAGGGGCGCAAGCCUGAUCCAGCCAUGCCGCGUGAGUGAUGAAGGCCUUAGGGUUGUAAAGCUCUUUCACCGAUGAAGAUAAUGACGGUAGUCGGAGAAGAAGCCCCGGCUAACUUCGUG
rnacentral:rRNA from 1 species